GGCUUACCAUGCAAGUCGAGGGGCAGCAUUUCAGUUUGCUUGCAAACUGGAGAUGGCGACCGGCGCACGGGUGAGUAACACGUAUCCAACCUGCCGAUAACUCGGGGAUAGCCUUUCGAAAGAAAGAUUAAUACCCGAUGGCAUAAUCAGACCGCAUGGUCUUAUUAUUAAAGAAUUUCGGUUAUCGAUGGGGAUGCGUUCCAUUAGGCAGUUGGUGAGGUAACGGCUCACCAAACCUUCGAUGGAUAGGGGUUCUGAGAGGAAGGUCCCCCACAUUGGAACUGAGACACGGUCCAAACUCCUACGGGAGGCAGCAGUGAGGAAUAUUGGUCAAUGGGCGCAGGCCUGAACCAGCCAAGUAGCGUGAAGGAUGACUGCCCUAUGGGUUGUAAACUUCUUUUAUAUGGGAAUAAAGUUUUCCACGUGUGGAAUUUUGUAUGUACCAUAUGAAUAAGGAUCGGCUAACUCCGUGCCAGCAGCCGCGGUAAUACGGAGGAUCCGAGCGUUAUCCGGAUUUAUUGGGUUUAAAGGGAGCGUAGGUGGACAGUUAAGUCAGUUGUGAAAGUUUGCGGCUCAACCGUAAAAUUGCAGUUGAUACUGGCUGUCUUGAGUACAGUAGGGGUGGGCGGAAUUCGUGGUGUAGCGGUGAAAUGCUUAGAUAUCACGAAGAACUCCGAUUGCGAAGGCAGCUCACUGGACUGCAACUGACACUGAUGCUCGAAAGUGUGGGUAUCAAACAGGAUUAGAUACCCUGGUAGUCCACACAGUAAACGAUGAAUACUCGCUGUUUGCGAUAUACAGUAAGCGGCCAAGCGAAAGCAUUAAGUAUUCCACCUGGGGAGUACGCCGGCAACGGUGAAACUCAAAGGAAUUGACGG
rnacentral:rRNA from 1 species